GUCCACGCCGUAAACGAUGGGCACUAGGCGCUUGGGGGAGCGACCCCCCGAGGGCCGGCGCUAACGCAUUAAGUGCCCCGCCUGGGGAGUACGGCCGCAAGGCUGAAACUCAAAGGAAUUGACGGGGCCCGCACAAGCGGUGGAGCAUGUGGUUUAAUUCGACGCAACGCGAAGAACCUUACCUAGGCUUGACAUACACGGGAAACCUGUCAGAAACGGCAGGCCCUCUUCGGAGCCCGUGCACAGGUGCUGCAUGGCUGUCGU
rnacentral:rRNA from 1 species